GCGAGCGUGGUGUCAUAGGUAACACGCCUGGCUGCCAGCCAGGAGCAGUGAGUUCGAAUCUCACCGUUCGUACCA
rnacentral:tRNA from 1 species